rnacentral:rRNA from 1 species
GUAAGGAAUAUUGGUCAAUGGACGAAAGUCUGAACCAGCCAUGCCGCGUGAAGGAUGAAGGCCCUCUGGGUUGUAAACUUCUUUUAUCUGGGACGAAAAAAGGGUAUUCUUACUCACUUGACGGUACCAGAGGAAUAAGCACCGGCUAACUCCGUGCCAGCAGCCGCGGUAAUACGGAGGGUGCAAGCGUUAUCCGGAUUCACUGGGUUUAAAGGGUGCGUAGGUGGGUAUUUAAGUCAGUGGUGAAAUCUCCGAGCUUAACUCGGAAACUGCCAUUGAUACUAUUUACCUUGAGUGCCCUGGAGGUAAGCGGAAUAUGUCAUGUAGCGGUGAAAUGCUUAGAUAUGACAUAGAACACCAAUUGCGAAGGCAGCUUACUACGGGGUGAUUGACACUGAGGCACGAAAGCGUGGGGAGCAAACAGGAUUAGAAACCCUGGUAGUCC